UUUACCCUUAAUUUAGAGGGGUUUUCCACGUAAAAAUAUCGGUGUCUCUAUUUAUUUUUGUUGUGGUUGCAUUAGUUGAUUUGUGGUUGAUUAAGGUUGCUAGAGAACAUAUCUUGUGCUAUUGUGCUUGCCAUAAUUUUUGACAGGAGUUAUAGGGAGAGAAAGAACACCGGUUGUGCUUUCGCUUUGUUUCGGUUGUUCGGUUUCUUCCCAACA
rnacentral:lncRNA from 1 species